ACGAUGAAGAGUUUGAUCCUGGCUCAGGAUGAACGCUAGCGGCAGGCCUAACACAUGCAAGUCGAGGGGUAACAGGGAGCUUGCUCCGCUGACGACCGGCGCACGGGUGCGCAACGCGUAUGCAAUCUACCUCUUACUAGGGGAUAGCCCAGAGAAAUUUGGAUUAAUACCCUAUAUUAUAUGGAGUCGGCAUCGGCAUUAUAU
rfam:Cellulophaga tyrosinoxydans strain DSM 21164 genome assembly, contig: LX62DRAFT_scaffold00001.1